rnacentral:rRNA from 1 species
AGAUUGAACGCUGGCGGCAUGCCUAACACAUGCAAGUCGAACGGGAGUAGCAAUACUCUAGUGGCGGACGGGUGAGGAAUACGUAGGAAUUUGCCCUUAAGUGGGGGAUAACCCGGGGAAACCCGGAUUAAUACCGCAUGACCUCGAAAGAGCAAAGUGGGGGAUCGCAAGACCUCACGCUUUUGGAGAAGCCUACGUCGGAUUAGCUUAGUUGGUGAGGUAAUGGCUCACCAAGGCGACGAUCCGUAACUGGUCUGAGAGGAUGAUCAGUCACACCGGAACUGAGACACGGUCCGGACUCCGUACGGGAG